GUCACUGGUUCCCAGCUGCUCCUCCCAUUAUAUUUUCUCACCCCCCCCCCUUAUUGCAGAACUGCUAUAUGCAUACAGGGACAGAAAGGAUCCAAUUUACUGCAACUGCUGCCUGGCUUUUACUUACAACUUUGUUUGAAGGAACUUACCUUCCAUCUGUCUUUGCAAGGUGACAGAUCACUUACUCUGAACAUCUCAUCUUGUCCCAAGGAACAUGAAGCCUACUAGACCUAGGCUUAGGCAAAGCAGACCUGGACUCUUUAGGCAAAUCAUCACAAAAUGAAGACGUUGGCAUCCUAUGCAUUGGAUGGAUCUUUUGUGGAAGAUUUAUAGAAAGACAUGGGCAAGAAUCACAAAGGAUGAGAAGGCAUGGAAGGGUUGUGACCCAAACCAACAAAAUCAAAGAUCUGUUAGAGUAUCAAAGGUAUCCAAAAAUUCGGGAGCCUGAGGUGAGCCAUUUCAGGACAG
rnacentral:lncRNA from 1 species